CAAAGCAUGCAUUUAUGAAAUGUAGGAGGUUUCCCCUGCUUGGAGAAGCGUUCCUAAAGAGUAAAGACCGCAGGAGUAGCAAGGGUGGUCUGGAGGUAUUUGUUACAGAAGUGUAACAGAAAAUCAUAGCUGGGGAGCAGAGGGUCAGGUAUGUAGUGGAAGGUUCACUCUAAUCAGGGCCGCCAUCAGAAAUUGUGGGGCCCCUAACACAGCUCAAGGUCUAGGACCCUGUGUGCCCGCCUCCAAGCCCCACCCCACAGGAAUACACACACACAGACACAAAAGGACACAGACACACAGAAAGAUACACACAUACUAACAGACACAAAUACUGAAACAGACAUACAUAUAGAUACAUACACAGAUACACACACACACACUGACAUACAGACACACACACUGUUGUACAUACAUACUCACAUACUGACACACACAUACAUACUGACAAACAGACAUACAUACAAACUGACAUACAGACAUACAUACACAUAAAUAUAUACUGACAUAUAUACAUAAUGGCAUACAUACACAUACAUACUGAUAUACAUACAUACAUACACACACACACAGACACACACACAGAUAUAUACAUACACAGAUACACACAGACAUACUGACAUACACACACAGACAUACAUGCAUACUGACAUACAUACAUACUUGAAGAUAUACACACUGACAUACACACAGACAUACACACACAGAUAUACUGACAUACACAUACACACUGACAUACACACAGACAUACACACACACACAGACAUACACACAGACAGACAUACACACAGACAUACAUACUGACAUACAUACUGACAUACACACACAUACAUACAUACAUACUGACAUACACACACACACACACACACA